rnacentral:lncRNA from 1 species
UGAAGAGAGUUAUUUAUAUCCAUCUCUUUUAAUCUGGACUGUCCAUCACGUUUGAUCUGUACCAUCCGAUCGUGUUUAAAUAGAAAGUGGAUCUGGAUUGUUCAUCGCGAUUUAAUCUAAACCGUCUGAUCGAGUUUAAAUAGAAAGUGGAUCCGGACUGUUCAUUGUAAUUUGAUCUGGACCGUUCGUGCUCGCUGGUAAUAAAUCCGGACCGUCUGAUCGCGGGCACACAGUUCACUAGUGUGGCCUCCCGCAUGAUACUGCAUCAGCAUCCUUGCCAGGCGACGCACUCCG